GACGAACGCUGGCGGCGUGCUUAACACAUGCAAGUCGAACGGAAAGGCCCUGCUUUUGUGGGGUGCUCGAGUGGCGAACGGGUGAGUAACACGUGAGUAACCUGCCCUUGACUUUGGGAUAACUUCAGGAAACUGGGGCUAAUACCGGAUAGGAGCUCCUGCUGCAUGGUGGGGGUUGGAAAGUUUCGGCGGUUGGGGAUGGACUCGCGGCUUAUCAGCUUGUUGGUGGGGUAGUGGCUUACCAAGGCUUUGACGGGUAGCCGGCCUGAGAGGGUGACCGGCCCAAGGGGGGAUGGAGAGACGCCCAAGACCCUCCGGGGGGGCGGGGGGGGGAAUUGUGCAAAAGGGGGGGGGGCCGUGCGGCAGAACCGCGGGGGGGGGGAGGGGGCUGUGGGGGUGGAAAACGUUUUCCGCUGGGGAGAAGGGGGGGGGGAGGGAAAGGGGAAAAGAAACCCCGCAAAACAGG
rnacentral:rRNA from 1 species